GUGAGUAUUAAGCUCUGAAUCUUAGUGUGUGUGUGUGUAGUCCUGGAAUCCUAUACCUAGUUAUCUAAUAAAUGCACUAUCUGAUCAUCAAUCUAUUUAGCAGAGAUGAAAAUCAUAUGCCCUUAGUGAUCCUUCGAAUUUUACAGUUAUGCUUCAAUUAGUUUGAUUGAAAGUUUGAUAGAUGAUAAGGUGGCAUGCAUUUUGACUCUUAAUUUGAAUGGAUGAAAUUCAAAUCAAGGGUCAAAAUGCAUUCCACUUCAUCAAACAUCAUCUGUACAAGUAGCUUAUUUACAAAUUUUAUUUCAUCUCGCCCUCAUUUGCUCACAAAGCUGUCCAUUGUCGGGUUUCGAGUUUUCACAAACUUUUGGACACUGACUCAUUUGUUUUGGCCCUGUCAUUACUCGGAGAAACUCUGAUGGCUCUGUCUUUACUCAGAGAAACUCAAACACCUCAACACUAACAUGAAGAAUUCCUUUGUUCAUCUUGUCAAUGGCCAUUAAACUGACAAUCCAUGGUCUUUCUUAAAUUCACGUUUGACAGAAACUCUUCUAAUUUAUGUUCUCGACUAUAGUUUUGGUGAUUGUUGAAGAUGGCCGAGUUAAUUUCUUCCUCGCGCUCACCAAGCAAGAUCUGAAAUGAAUG
rnacentral:lncRNA from 1 species